rnacentral:rRNA from 2 species
GACGAACGCUGGCGGCGUGCUUAACACAUGCAAGUCGAACGGAAAGGCCCUUCGGGGUGCUCGAGUGGCGAACGGGUGAGUAACACGUGGGUGAUCUGCCCUGCACUUUGGGAUAAGCCUGGGAAACUGGGUCUAAUACCGGAUAGGACUCCGGCCCUCAUGGGUUGGGGUGGAAAGCUUUUGCGGUGUGGGAUGGGCCCGCGGCCUAUCAGCUUGUUGGUGGGGUAAUGGCCUACCAAGGCGACGACGGGUAGCCGGCCUGAGAGGGUGACCGGCCACACUGGGACUGAGAUACGGCCCAGACUCCUACGGGAGGCAGCAGUGGGGAAUAUUGCACAAUGGGCGCAAGCCUGAUGCAGCGACGCCGCGUGAGGGAUGACGGCCUUCGGGUUGUAAACCUCUUUCAGCACAGACGAAGCGCAAGUGACGGUAUGUGCAGAAGAAGGACCGGCCAACUACGUGC